GUGACAGAAGAGAGUGAGCACACAUGGUGGUUUCUUGCAUGCUUUUUUCAAUCAGGGUUUCGUCAUCAUGCUUGAAGCUAUGUGUGCUUACUCUCUCUCUGUCAC
rnacentral:pre_miRNA from 1 species